rnacentral:rRNA from 1 species
CCUACGGGAGGCAGCAGUGGGGAAUAUUGCACAAUGGGGGAAACCCUGAUGCAGCGACGCCGCGUGAGUGAAGAAGUAUCUCGGUACGUAAAGCUCUAUCAGCAGGGAAGAAAAUGACGGUACCUGACUCAUAAGCCCCGGCUAACUACGUGCCAGCAGCCGCGGUAAUACGUAGGGGGCAAGCGUUAUCCGGAUUUACUGGGUGUAAAGGGAGCGUAGACGGCAGCACAAGUCUGGAGUGAAAGCCCGGGGCCCAACCCCGGGACUGCUCUUGGAACUGCAUGGCUGGAGUACAGGAGGGGCAGGCGGAAUUCCGAGUGUAGCGGGGAAAUGCGUAGAUAUUAGGAGGAACACCGGUGGCGAAGGCGGCCUGCUGGACUGUGACUGACGUUGAGGCCCGAAGGCGUGGGGAGCAAACAGGAUUAGAUACCCUAGUAGUC